rnacentral:rRNA from 1 species
UACGGGGGGGGCAAGCGUUGUUCGGAAUUACUGGGCGUAAAGGGCUCGUAGGUGGCCAACUAAGUCAUACGUGAAAUCCCUCGGCUUAACCGGGGAACUGCGUCUGAUACUGGAUGGCUUGAGGUUGGGAGAGGGAUGCGGAAUUCCAGGUGUAGCGGUGAAAUGCGUAGAGAUCCGGAAGAACACCAGAGGCGAAGGCGGCUCGCUGGGCUUGGUCUGACGCUGAGGCGCGAAAGCGUGGGGAGCGAACAGG